GCCGCCGGAGGUUCUUGAGGAGUGGGGGAACACGGACUGAACGUUUCUGUAGAAAAAUGAUCCAGACAACGGGAUAGAGGCCUUGAGGAGGGACUUAAAUGUCUGGAACGGCUGUCAAGAGCAAGGGGCAUGGGCACCGAUAAGGAUGGAGAAAUAAAUUGGCCGGGCAGAAUACAAGCACGCCGAGAUAAACUCGAAGUUGACGAGCUUGGCCCGAUAUCUAGGCUUCGGCCGGCAGCGCCCUGCGGCUCGUGCCCGGGAGUGAAGCAAGUGGAGCUUGGAGGUGAUCCAACGAUGUGGGGGAGAGGUGAGAGAUCGACGAAGUGAUGGGGAGCGAGUGAGGGGUUCAAGCUGCAGAGAAGCAGGAUGGCCUAGCGGGAAAAGCACUGGCUUGGAAAUCACAGGACUUGGGUUCAAAUCCCAAAUCUGCCACUUGACCACUCUGUGACCUCGGACGAGUCCCUUGACUCGUAAGUGUGAUGUGGGCAGGGAACGUUUCUGUUUAUUCUUACGUUGUACUGCUUAGUAAAGCGCUGUGCACACGGUCAGCGCUCAGUAAAUACGAUUAAUGAAUAAACGAAUGACUUGAA